rnacentral:rRNA from 1 species
AGCGAACGUUAGCGGCGGGCCUAACACAUGCAAGUCGCACGAGAAUAGGGGGGCAACUCCCUUAGUAAAGUGGCGGACGGGCGCGUAACACGUGGGUAAUUUACCUGCCGGCGGGGGACAACCUUCCGAAAGGAGGGCUAAUACCGCGUACGUCGGCGAGGACUCCGGUCCUUGUCGGGAAAGGUGGCCUCUUCAUGAAAGCUACCACCGGCAGAUGAACCCGCGGCCCAUCAGCUAGUUGGUGAGGUAAUGGCUCACCAAGGCUAAGACGGGUAGCUGGGCUGAGAGGGUGAUCAGCCACACGGGGACUGCGACACGGCCCAGACCCCUACGGGAGGCAGCAGUGGGGAAUAUUGGGCAAUGGGCGAAAGCCUGACCCAGCCACGCCGCGUGAGUGAUGAAGGCCUUCGGGUCGUAAAGCUCUGUGGGGAGGGACGAACAAGCCUUGGGCUAAUCACCAGGGCUCUGACGGUACCUCCUUAGCAAGCACCGGCUAACCCUGUGCCAGCAGCCGCGGUAAAAC